rnacentral:rRNA from 1 species
AUUGAACGCUGGCGGCAGGCCUAACACAUGCAAGUCGAACGGUAACAGGAAUAGCUUGCUMUUCGCUGACGAGUGGCGGACGGGUGAGUAAUGCUUGGGAACUUGCCUUUGCGAGGGGGAUAACAGUUGGAAACGACUGCUAAUACCGCAUAAUGUCUACGGACCAAACGGGGCUUAGGCUCCGGCGCAAAGAGAGGCCCAAGUGAGAUUAGCUAGUUGGUAAGGUAAAGGCUUACCAAGGCAACGAUCUCUAGCUGUUCUGAGAGGAAGAUCAGCCACACUGGAACUGAGACACGGUCCAGACUCCUACGGGAGGCAGCAGUGGGGAAUAUUGCACAAUGGGGGAAACCCUGAUGCAGCCAUGCCGCGUGUGUGAAGAAGGCCUUCGGGUUGUAAAGCACUUUCAGUUGUGAGGAAAAGUUAGUAGUUAAUACCUGCUAGCCGUGACGUUAACAACAGAAGAAGCACCGGCUAACUCCGUGCCAGCAGCCGCGGUAAUACGGAGGGUGCGAGCGUUAAUCGGAAUUACUGGGCGUAAAGCGCACGCAGGCGGUUUGUUAAGCUAGAUGUGAAAGCCCCGGGCUCAACCUGGGAUGGUCAUUUAGAACUGGCAGACUAGAGUCUUGGAGAGGGGAGUGGAAUUCCAGGUGUAGCGGUGAAAUGCGUAGAUAUCUGGAGGAACAUCAGUGGCGAAGGCGACUCCCUGGCCAAAGACUGACGCUCAUGUGCGAAAGUGUGGGUA